CCGCCUUCGGUGUCCAGGACGAGGCCGAGGUGCUGCCCCCGCCGCGGGACAACCGCAGGUCCUGGCUGAGCAGCUUCCAGGACUACGUGUGGGACCGCAUCAAGAGCUCCCUCCCCACGGCCACUGUAUUCGCCUUCCUUUUCGCCAUCGUCCUAGUGGGGCUCCUCUGCUGCCUCACUUUCGCUGUAGGUGAACCAGUCUAACGAAGCGCUACAAGAUUCCGUUGCGCAGAAUGUGCUGUCGCUUCCAACGAGGAACUACGUAUCAAUCAAAAUUAAAUUAUCU
rnacentral:lncRNA from 1 species